GUUGUUGCAGUUAAAAAGCUCGUAGUUGAAUUUCGGGAUUGGCACAUCGGUCGUGCCUUAAGGGGCAUGAACUGGUGUAGCCAAUUUCUCACCUUCUGGAGAACCGCGAUGUCCUUAAUUGGGUGCCGCGAGGAACCAGGACCUUUACUUUGAAAAAAUUAGAGUGUUUAAAGCAGGCAUUUUGCUUGAAUACAUUAGCAUGGAAUAAUAAAAUAGGACGGAUGAUUCUAUUUUGUUGGUUUCUAGGACCACCGUAAUGAUUAAUAGGGAUAGUUGGGGGCAUUAGUAUUCAAUUGUCAGAGGUGAAAUUCUUGGAUUUAUUGAAGACUAACUACUGCGAAAGCAUUUGCCAAGGAUGUUUUCAUUAAUCAAGAACGAAAGUUAGGGGAUCGAAGACGAUCAGAUACCGUCGUAGUCUUAACCAUAAACUAUGCCGACUAGGAAUCAGACGAUGUUAAUUUUUUAAUGACUCGUUCGGCGCCUUACGGGAAAC
rnacentral:rRNA from 1 species